CCGCCCUUGGCACAGUUGGAUAGCGCGGCCCCCUCCUAAGGGGCAGGUCUCAGGUUCGAAUCCUGAAGGGCGGG
rnacentral:tRNA from 1 species